UUGACUCACGCAGGAAUCUUACCGGGUCCGGACACACUGAGGAUUGACAGAUACAGUGAAAAAUAUGAUAGCUCUUUCAUAAUUAUGUGAUAGGUGGUGCAUGGCCGUUCUUAGUUCGUGGAGUGAUCUGUCUGCUUAAUUGCGUUGGUAUAUAUAAUGCAUGUUAAUUGCAUUUUUACCAUGCAACGAACGUGACCGCAACCUCUUGUUGCACUAUAGCUUCUCAUGGUGCAAAACUAGAGGGACCGCUGUAUUUAUUUCUUUUAGCCAGAGGAAGGAUGCGGCAAUAACAGGUCUGUGAUGC
rnacentral:rRNA from 1 species